GAACAAAAACAUGUCCCCUUUUUCUUCAGAUGACAUACUGAAGUAAAACCCAACUGAAGCUGAAUUGUUCAUGUCGAGGGAUUAAACACAGCCUGCGCAGUUUUCUACUCCAUUUAAUAUACUUGUGCAUCGUGUGCUUAUACUACCAUUUGCUUGGUUCUUAACACAGGUGAAGUGUCCAGCUAUGCUUCUCACUGACCAGUCACACUGGCAAGUCGAACGCGCAGGGAGAGACGACCCUCGUUACCACUCUGUACGCUGAUCUUGAUUCACGACUGGGGUGUGCAGUACGUCCGCAGGUGCCACGGAUAUGGAGCCUGAUGUUGCUGCUGAAGAGCAGAGCGAUCAAGCUCCCCCAAAGGGACAUCUAGAGGGCCUUACUCAUCAGGGGGAGCUAGAUGUAUGAUGUACGGCAACGGGAAUGAGAGCUGGUGAGGAAAGGAACCUACUGGGACAACCAGAUCGAGUCCCUUCUCUACAUAUUGGUUUUGCUCCCUUGCACAACAGUAAAUGCCUCUGCAAACAUGAUACUAUAUAUAUGCAUGUCAUAGUCAGCAGUUAGUGUGUGGCAAUGAAGUGAACCAUCAGAUUACAUUUUGCUUUGUCUUGUUGAUAAUGCCAUAUAUCUUGCAAUCAGAUUUCAUUUCAGUUUGUUAUGGUAAUAU